AGUGAACGCUGGCGGCAGGCCUAACACAUGCAAGUCGAACGGAAGCACAGUAAGAGCUUGCUCUUACGGGUGGCGAGUGGCGGACGGGUGAGGAAUAUAUCCGACUCUACUUUUUCGUGGGGGAUAACGUAGGGAAACCUACGCCAAUACAGCAUACGACCUACGGGUGAAAGCAGGGGAUCUUCGGACCUUGCGCGAUUGGAUGAGCCGAUGUCGGAUUAGCUAGUUGGCGGGGUAAUGGCCAACCCAGGCGACGAUCCGUAGCUGGUCUGAGAGGAUGGUCAGCCACACUGGAACUGGGACACGGUCCAGGCUCCUACGAGAGGCAGCAGUGGGGAAUAUGAGACAAUGGUCGCAAGCCUUAUCCAGCCAGACCGCGUGUGUGGAGAAGGCCUUCGGUUUGUAAAGCCCUUUUGUUGGGAAAGAAAAGCAUCAGCUUGAGACCCCGCGGUUCUGACGGUACCCAAAGAAUAAGCACCGGCUAACUUCGUG
rnacentral:rRNA from 1 species